UCAGCUGCGUUUGAGCACUUCCGGUCUCAUUAGAAAGUUCAAUGCUUAUAUCAAAAGUACCAUUUGUCUUAAAAACUAAUUUGUGAUAUUAAUCAAUCUAAAAAACGGCGUCAUCGGAAGCGUCAAUUCAUUUAAGGUUUGUUUGUUUAGUAGAUUUUUUUUAAGGACCGUUACAUGUUUUGACAACGGAAUUCAAUAGUACAUUAUGUAGGUACAUAAAUUACUCGAAAACUAAUCAGAAUAGUUAUGACUUUGUAUGGUAGGUAUUUUGUGUUUUUCUUUUAUUUAUUUAAAUUUCAUUCAAAAGUAAACAUUUGUAUUUUGCG